AGAGUUUGAUCAUGGCUCAGAUUGAACGCUGGCGGCAGGCUUAACACAUGCAAGUCGAGCGGAAACGAUGGAAAGCUUGCUUUUCAGGCGUCGAGCGGCGGACGGGUGAGUAAUGCUUGGGAAUAUGCCUUUGAGUGGGGGACAACAGUUGGAAACGACUGCUAAUACCGCAUAACGUCUACGGACCAAAGGGGGGGAUCUUCGGACCUCUCGCUCAUUGAUUAGCCCAAGUGAGAUUAGCUAGUUGGUAAGGUAAUGGCUUACCAAGGCGACGAUCUCUAGCUGGUUUGAGAGGAUGAUCAGCCACACUGGGACUGAGACACGGCCCAGACUCCUACGGGAGGCAGCAGUGGGGAAUAUUGCACAAUGGGCGAAAGCCUGAUGCAGCCAUGCCGCGUGUGUGAAGAAGGCCUUCGGGUUGUAAAGCACUUUCAGUUGUGAGGAAAGGGGUGUAGUUAAUAACUGCAUUCUGUGACGUUAACAACAGAAGAAGCACCGGCUAACUUCGUGCCA
rnacentral:rRNA from 1 species